GGUGUAGAGGAUGUUUUAAGGGCGGGGAUUCUGAGAUUGGAUUUCCCACGUUGACUAGGCGUCCGCUAGGGGUAAAUCUUCGACGUGGAUGCCUUAGGGAAGUCCGAGGUAGCCAGGUUUAGUCCCAGAAAAGGGGAAAAAUCGGUCCAAAAGUCACCGAGUCGAGAGUUGUGGGUUCAAAUCCUGGGAGUGGGAGUUCAAUUUUAGCUCGUCUAAACAAAAACAGACCUCUACC
rnacentral:SRP_RNA from 1 species